GGGUUGUGAGGUUAAGCGACUAAGCGUACACGGUGGAUGCCCUGGCAGUCAGAGGCGAUGAAGGACGUGCUAAUCUGCGAAAAGCGUCGGUAAGGUGAUAUGAACCGUUAUAGCCGGCGAUGUCCGAAUGGGGAAACCCAGUGCAAUUCGUUGCACUAUCGUUAACUGAAUACAUAGGUUAACGAGGCGAACCGGGGGAACUGAAACAUCUAAGUACCCCGAGGAAAAGAAAUCAACCGAGAUUCCCCCAGUAGCGGCGAGCGAACGGGGAGCAGCCCAGAGUCUGAAUCAGCUUGUGUGUUAGUGGAACGGUCUGGAAAGUCCGACGGUACAGGGUGAUAGUCCCGUACACCAAAAUGCACAGGCUGUGAACUCGAAGAGUAGGGCGGGACACGUGGUAUCCUGUCUGAAUAUGGGGGGACCAUCCUCCAAGGCUAAAUACUCCUGACUGACCGAUAGUGAACCAGUACCGUGAGGGAAAGGCGAAAAGAACCCCGGCGAGGGGAGUGAAAAAGAACCUGAAACCGUGUACGUACAAGCAGUGGGAGCACCUUCGGGUGUGACUGCGUACCUUUUGUAUAAUGGGUCAGCGACUUAUAUUCUGUAGCAAGGUUAACCGUAUAGGGGAGCCGCAGGGAAACCGAGUCUUAACUGGGCGUUAAGUUGCAGGGUAUAGACCCGAAACCCGGUGAUCUAGCCAUGGGCAGGUUGAAGGUUGGGUAACACUAACUGGAGGACCGAACCGACUAAUGUUGAAAAAUUAGCGGAUGACUUGUGGCUGGGGGUGAAAGGCCAAUCAAACCGGGAGAUAGCUGGUUCUCCCCGAAAGCUAUUUAGGUAGCGCCUCGUGAACUCAUCUUCGGGGGUAGAGCACUGUUUCGGCUAGGGGGUCAUCCCGACUUACCAACCCGAUGCAAACUACGAAUACCGAAGAAUGUUAUCACGGGAGACACACGGCGGGUGCUAACGUCCGUCGUGAAGAGGGAAACAACCCAGACCGCCAGCUAAGGUCCCAAAGUCAUGGUUAAGUGGGAAACGAUGUGGGAAGGCACAGACAGCCAGGAUGUUGGCUUAGAAGCAGCCAUCAUUUAAAGAAAGCGUAAUAGCUCACUGGUCGAGUCGGCCUGCGCGGAAGAUGUAACGGGGCUAAACCAUGCACCGAAGCUGCGGCAGCGACACGAUGUGUUGUUGGGUAGGGGAGCGUUCUGUAAGCCUGCGAAGGUGACCUGUGAGGGUUGCUGGAGGUAUCAGAAGUGCGAAUGCUGACAUAAGUAACGAUAAAGCGGGUGAAAAGCCCGCUCGCCGGAAGACCAAGGGUUCCUGUCCAACGUUAAUCGGGGCAGGGUGAGUCGACCCCUAAGGCGAGGCCGAAAGGCGUAGUCGAUGGGAAACAGGUUAAUAUUCCUGUACUUGGUGUUACUGCGAAGGGGGGACGGAGAAGGCUAUGUUAGCCGGGCGACGGUUGUCCCGGUUUAAGCAUGUAGGCUGGUUAUCCAGGCAAAUCCGGAUAAUCAAGGCUGAGGUGUGAUGACGAGGCACUACGGUGCUGAAGUAACAAAUGCCCUGCUUCCAGGAAAAGCCUCUAAGCAUCAGGUAACACGAAAUCGUACCCCAAACCGACACAGGUGGUCAGGUAGAGAAUACCAAGGCGCUUGAGAGAACUCGGGUGAAGGAACUAGGCAAAAUGGUGCCGUAACUUCGGGAGAAGGCACGCUGGUGUGUAGGUGAAGUCCCUGCGGAUGGAGCUGAGACCAGUCGAAGAUACCAGCUGGCUGCAACUGUUUAUUAAAAACACAGCACUGUGCAAACACGAAAGUGGACGUAUACGGUGUGACGCCUGCCCGGUGCCGGAAGGUUAAUUGAUGGGGUUAUCCGUAAGGAGAAGCUCUUGAUCGAAGCCCCGGUAAACGGCGGCCGUAACUAUAACGGUCCUAAGGUAGCGAAAUUCCUUGUCGGGUAAGUUCCGACCUGCACGAAUGGCGUAAUGAUGGCCAGGCUGUCUCCACCCGAGACUCAGUGAAAUUGAACUCGCUGUGAAGAUGCAGUGUACCCGCGGCAAGACGGAAAGACCCCGUGAACCUUUACUAUAGCUUGACACUGAACAUUGAGCCUUGAUGUGUAGGAUAGGUGGGAGGCUUUGAAGCGUGGACGCCAGUCUGCGUGGAGCCAACCUUGAAAUACCACCCUUUAAUGUUUGAUGUUCUAACGUUGGCCCCUUAUCGGGGUUGCGGACAGUGUCUGGUGGGUAGUUUGACUGGGGCGGUCUCCUCCCAAAGCGUAACGGAGGAGCACGAAGGUUAGCUAAUCCUGGUCGGACAUCAGGAGGUUAGUGCAAUGGCAUAAGCUAGCUUGACUGCGAGCGUGACGGCGCGAGCAGGUGCGAAAGCAGGUCAUAGUGAUCCGGUGGUUCUGAAUGGAAGGGCCAUCGCUCAACGGAUAAAAGGUACUCCGGGGAUAACAGGCUGAUACCGCCCAAGAGUUCAUAUCGACGGCGGUGUUUGGCACCUCGAUGUCGGCUCAUCACAUCCUGGGGCUGAAGUAGGUCCCAAGGGUAUGGCUGUUCGCCAUUUAAAGUGGUACGCGAGCUGGGUUUAGAACGUCGUGAGACAGUUCGGUCCCUAUCUGCCGUGGGCGCUGGAGAAUUGAGGGGGGCUGCUCCUAGUACGAGAGGACCGGAGUGGACGCAUCACUGGUGUUCGGGUUGUCAUGCCAAUGGCACUGCCCGGUAGCUAAAUGCGGAAGAGAUAAGUGCUGAAAGCAUCUAAGCACGAAACUUGCCCCGAGAUGAGUUCUCCCUGAGACUUUAAGUCUCCUGAAGGAACGUUGAAGACGACGACGUUGAUAGGCCGGGUGUGUAAGCGCAGCGAUGCGUUGAGCUAACCGGUACUAAUGAACCGUGAGGCUUAACCUUACAACGCCGAAG
rnacentral:rRNA from 1 species